rnacentral:rRNA from 1 species
UUAAGAAACAAAGAGCGCACGGUGGAUGCCUUGGCACUAAUAGGCGAAGAAGGACGCGACUAACAGCGAAAUGCUACGGGGAGCAGUAAGUACGCAGAGAUCCGUAGAUGUCCGAAUGGGGGAACCCACUAGUUUGAAGAACUAGUAUCAUAUAGUGAAUACAUAGCUAUAUGAGGCAAACCUGGAGAAUUGAAACAUCUUAGUACCCAGAGGAAAAGAAAAUAAAUAAUGAUUCCCUAAGUAGAGGCGAUUGAAAGGGGAAGAGCCCAGCACCAUCAAGAGUUACAAAAUCUUUUUAUAGUAGAAUUGUAUUGGAAAAGCAAGUCAAAGAAGGUGAAAGCCCUGUAUACGAAAUAAAGAGAUCUCGGUGUGAGAGUAGGGCGGAGCACGUGAAAUUCUGUCUGAAUAUGCGAGGACCAUCUCGUAAGGCUAAAUACUCAUUAGUGACCGAUAGUGAACCAGUACUGUGAAGGAAAGGUGAAAAGAACCCCUGGCGGGGAGUGAAAAGAACCUGAAACCGUGUGCUUACAAACAGUUAGAGCCCAUCAAUGGGUGAUAGCGUGCCUUUUGUAGAAUGAGCCGGCGAGUUACGUUAAUUUGCAAGGUUAAGCUUUUAGGAGUGGAGCCGUAGCGAAAGCAAGUCUUAAUAGGGCGAAUAAGUAGAUUGACGUAUACCCGAAACCGGGUGAUCUAGCCAUGAGCAGGUUGAAGCUUGGGUAAAACCAGGUGGAGGACCGAACCAGGGUCUGUUGAAAAAGACUUGGAUGACUUGUGGCUAGGGGUGAAAUUCCAAUCGAACCCGGAGAUAGCUGGUUCUCCCCGAAAUAGCUUUAGGGCUAGCGUUGUGAGAAGAGUUAUACGAAGGUAGAGCACUGAAUGGGUGAGGGCCGCACCUCGCGGUACCAAUCUCAAUCAAACUCCGAAUGUCGUAUAAUAUGCACAGCAGUAAGACUAUGGGUGAUAAGGUCCAUGGUCAAAAGGGAAACAGCCCAGACCGCCAGUUAAGGUCCCAAAAUUAUGCUAAGUGGGAAAGGAGGUGGAGUCGCUUAAACAACUAGGAGGUUGGCUCAGAAGCAGCCAUCCUUUAAAGAGUGCGUAAUAGCUCACUAGUCGAGUGAUUCUGCGCCGAAAAUGUAUCGGGGCUAAGCAUAAUACCGAAGCUGCGGGAUUAGAUGAAGAAUCUAAUCGGUAGGGGAGCGUACUAAGUGCGUAGAAGGUUGACCGGAAGGGCAGCUGGAGCGCUUAGCAGUGAGUAUGCCGGUGUGAGUAGCGAUAAGAUGGGUGAGAAUCCCAUCCGUCGAAAGCCUAAGGUUUCCAGGGGUAAGGCUCGUCCUCCCUGGGUAAGUCGGGUCCUAAGGUGAGGCUGAGAAGCGUAGCUGAUGGACAUCAGGUUGAUAUUCCUGAACCACCAUAAAACUGAAGGAAUGACGGAGGAGGCUAAUCAGAGCUGAUUAAUGGAUUUCAGUUUAAGUACAAAGAGGGUUACGUAGGCAAAUCCGCGUAGCAAAACCUUGAAGUAUGAUGACGUAAGUCUGGUGAAGCCACACUUCCAAGAAAAGUUUCUAGGUGUAUUUUAUGGUGCCCGUACCGUAAACGGACACACGUAGGCGAGGAGAGAAUCCAAAGACGCGCGAGAUAAUUCUUGUUAAGGAACUCUGCAAAAUUACUCUGUAACUUCGGAAUAAAGAGGGCUCCCGUGAGGGAGACGCAGAAAAUAGGCCCAAGCGACUGUUUAACAAAAACAUAGGUUUCUGCUAAAGCGUAAGCUGAUGUAUAGGAGCUGACGCCUGCCCAGUGCUGGAAGGUUAAGAGGAGAAGUUAGUCGCAAGGCGAAGCUUUGAAUUGAAGCCCCAGUAAACGGCGGCCGUAACUAUAACGGUCCUAAGGUAGCGAAAUUCCUUGUCAGGUAAG